UGGGCGNAAAGGGAGCGUAGGCGGCGUGGAAAGUCAGAUGUGAAAUCCCAGAGCUUAACUCUGGAACUGCAUCCGAUACUACCAUGCUUGAGUAUUGGAGGGGUAACUGGAAUUCUCGGUGUAGCAGUGAAAUGCGUAGAUAUCGAGAGGAACACUCGUGGCGAAAGCGAGUUACUGGACAAUUACUGACGCUGAGGCUCGAAGGCUAGGGGAGCAAAAGGGAUUAGAUACCCCUGUAGUCCUAGCAGUAAACGGUGCACGCUUGGUUUGAGGGGAAUCGACCCCNUUCGAGCCGGAGCUAACGCGUUAAGCGUGCCGCCUGGGAAGUACGGUCGCAAGACUAAAACUCAAAGAAAUUGACGGGGACCCGCACAAGCGGUGGAGUAUGUGGCUUAAUUCGAUGCAACGCGAAGAACCUUACCUAGGCUUGACAUGGAUUUCUAAGCACGUGAAAGCGUGUGACCCUUCGGGGGACUUCCACAGGUGCUGCAUGGCCGUCGUCAGCUCGUGUCGUGAGAUGUUGGGUUAAGUCCCGCAACGAGCGCAACCCCUGUGUUUAGUUACCAGCGCGUUAUGGCGGGGACUCUAAACAGACUGCCCAGAUCAACUGGGAGGAAGGUGGGGACGACGUCAGGUCAGUAUGGCCCUUACGCCUAGGGCUGCACACGUACUACAAUGCUCAGUACAAUGAGAACCGAGACCGCGAGGUGGAGGAAAUCUACAAAACUGGGCUCAGUUCGGAUUGGAGGCUGCAACUCGCCUCCAUGAAGCUGGAAUCGCUAGUAAUGGCACAUCAGCUACGGUGCCGUGAAUACGUUCCCGGGUCUUGUACACACCGCCCGUCACAUCAUGGAAGUCGGUCGCACCCGAAGUACACAAGCCAACCGCAAGGAGGCAGUGUCCUAAGGUGUAGCUGGUAACUGGGAUGAAGUCGUAACAAGGUAACCAAGGGCGAA
rnacentral:rRNA from 1 species